rnacentral:rRNA from 1 species
GAUGAACGCUGGCGGCGUGCCUAAUACAUGGAAGUCGAGCGAACAGAUGAGGUGCUUGCUCCUCUGACGUUAGCGGCGGACGGGUGAGUAACACGUGGAUAACCUACCUAUAAGACUGGGAUAACUACGGGAAACCGGAGCUAAUACCGGAUAAUAUAUUGAACCGCAUGGUUCAAUAGUGAAAGACGGUUUUGCUGUCACUUAUAGAUGGAUCCGCGCCGCAUUAGCUAGUUGGUAAGGUAACGGCUUACCAAGGCAACGAUGCGUAGCCGACCUGAGAGGGUGAUCGGCCACCCUGGAACUGAGACACGGUCCAGACUCCUACGGGAGGCAGCAGUAGGGAAUCUUCCGCAAUGGGCGAAAGCCUGACGGAGCAACGCCGCGUGAGUGAUGAAGGUCUUCGGAUCGUAAAACUCUGUUAUUAGGGAAGAACAAAUGUGUAAGUAACUAUGCACGUCUUGACGGUACCUAAUCAGAAAGCCACGGCUAACUACGUG